AACGAACGCUGGCGGCAGGCUUAACACAUGCAAGUCGAACGGACGUAGCAAUACGUUAGUGGCGCACGGGAGAGUAACACGUGGGAACCUACCUUUUAGUUCGGGAUAACGUCGGGAAACUGACGCUAAUACCGGAUACGCCACAAGGGGGAAAGAGUUAUCGCUAAAAGAUGGGCCCGCGCUAGAUUAGCUUGUUGGUGAGGUAAUGGCUCACCAAGGCUACGAUCUAUAGCUGGUCUGAGAGGAUGACCAGCCUCACUGGGACUGAGACACGGCCCAGACUCCUACGGGAGGCAGCAGUGGGGAAUAUUGGACAAUGGGGGAAACCCUGAUCCAGCCAUGCCGCGUGAAUGAUGAAGGCCUUCGGGUUGUAAAGUUCUUUUGGAGGGGACGAUGAUGACGGUACCCUCAGAAUAAGCUCCGGCUAACUUCGUGCCAGCCGCCGCCGUAA
rnacentral:rRNA from 1 species